AUUGAACGCUGGCGGCAUGCUUUACACAUGCAAGUCGAACGGUAACAGGCCGCAAGGUGCUGAAGAGUGGCGAACGGGUGAGUAAUGCAUCGGAACGUGCCCAGUCGUGGGGGAUAACGCAGCGAAAGCUGCGCUAAUACCGCCUACGAUCUAUGGAUGAAAGCGGGGGACCGUAAGGCCUCGCGCGAUUGGAGCGGAGUAUGUCAGAUUAGGUAGUUGGUGGGGUAAAGGCUCACCAAGCCAACGAUCUGUAGCUGGUCUGAGAGGACGACCAGCCACACUGGGACUGAGACACGUCCCAGACUCCUACGGGAGGCAGCAGUGGGGAAUUUUGGACAAUGGGCGCAAGCCUGAUCCAGCAAUGCCGCGUGCAGGAAGAAGGCCUUCGGGUUGUAAACUGCUUUUGUACGGAACGAAAAGGCUCUGGUUAAUACCUGGGGCUCAUGACGGUACCGUAAGAAUAAUCACCGGCUAACUACGUGCCAGCAGCCGCCGUAAAAC
rnacentral:rRNA from 1 species